GGAAGCUUCGCAUGCAUGUGGCGUCUAUGUAGAUAUGUGUGUCCAUCUCCCAAAGUGCUACACUUCUGCCUAUUUCAACAAAUUUAGAAAUCCACAAGGGGGUGGUUUUCGUUAAGAUUGUUAUCUGCAAGGAGAGGACAGAGAAAGGAGACGCUGGAAUUCCUGUAACAAUCAACUCAGUUUUUUAAUUUAUUUUUUAUUUUUUAAAAUUAUUUUUUUGGCUGUGGUUGUGUCUUCUUUGCUGCACGAGGGCUUUCUCUAGUUGCAGAGAGCGGGGGCUACUCUUCGUUGCAGUGUGCUUCUCUUGUUGCGGAGCAUGGGCUCUAGGUGCGUGGGCUCAGUAGUUGUGGCACGCGGGCUCAGUAGCUGUGGCUCGUGGGCUCUAGAGCGCAGGCUCAGUAGUUGUGGCGCACGGGCUUAGCUGCUCCGCGGCAUGUGGGAUCUUCCCGGAUCAGGGCUUGAACCUGCGUCCCCUGCAUUGGCAGGCAGAUUCUUAACCACUGCGCCACCAGGGAAGUCCCCAGGUCAGUUUUAAGAUGCCUCCCAGCUCUUCAGGCCUGGAGAUCCACGAUGCUCGUGUUCAAGCAGGCUAGAAACGAAGCCUCAGAUGCAGUAAUUGCCACUGGGACCCACCCUAGUCUAAGAAAACAAUUCUGAGACUCUAUUUUGCCAAAAUGAAAGAGCUCUUUGUGUUUCAACCUUCGAAGGCGGCCCUCCCUGCCAUGUAUAUUACAACACCAUAGCUACAGUCAGAGCUUCUAGGAGGAAUUUUCCAGUGAAGAACAAAGCUUCUGGAAGCUGAGAUUGGAGGACUCCAAAGGAGCCUGGAGAAGACGGUUCAUAUUAAAUAUGCCCGACAGUGUUAACGUAAAUAAAAAUGAGGAUAUAGUUGGUGAAAAAUAUUUUAGGUUUCCUUUUAGGGGCAGGUCCUGGGACAAGAUGAGCCAGAUAUUUAGAGUGUUUCUUUCUUUCUCGUCUGGUUUAGGAUUAGACAAUCAGCAAGGUAUUUUUAAACUGUGGACAAAGCAAAGAAAGCUAGGGGUGUGGUUAACAUGUAUGAUUUUUAAAAAAUGCAUGUUUUGAUGGCUACAUUUUGGAGAUUUUAUAAUUUUAUUAUCUAAUAAUCACCUGCAUUAAAAUAUUUUAAAAGUGUAAUCAUAUCCAAGCUGGUGUUGAGCACCUUUAGAUACUGUAAUCUUUUUAAAAUUAAUUUGAAAACUAAUUUUUCAAUCAUGAAAGUAGGGUUAAGCUUAUCAUUCUUUAACAUGUUGCUUCAUUUUUGUGUUGUAAACAAGCGAGAAGGAUGUUUAUACAUAUAUACUUUUUCCUUUUAGGAGAUCAAAUUCUGUACAAUAAUACUGAUAAACCCUGAUUUGUAUACUUAAAAAAAAUUAUAUUUGGAAAGAUACACUA